rnacentral:rRNA from 1 species
UACGGGGCGCAGCAGGCGCGAAAACUCCGCAAUGGGCGAAAGCCCGACGGGGUUACCCCGAGUGCCACCCUCGUGGUGGCUUUUGCCCGCUCUAAAAAGGCGGGCGAAUAAGGGGAGGGCAAGUCGGGUGUCAGCCGCCGCGGUAAUACCCGCUCCCCGAGUGGUGGAGGCUAUUACUGGGCNUAAAGCUGCCCGUAGCCGGCCCGGUGUGUCCCUCGUUAAAUCCACGGGCUUAACCCGUGGGCUGCGGGGGAUACUACCGGGCUUGGGGGUGGGAGAGGCGCCCGGUAUUCCCGGGGUAGGGGUAAAAUCCUCUGAUCCCGGGAGGACCAUCAGUGGCGAAGGCGGGGCGCCAGAACACGCCCGACGGUGAGGGGCGAAAGCUGGGGGAGCAAACGGGAUUAGAUACCCCGGUAGUCCCAGCUGUAAACGAUGCGGGCUA